rnacentral:tRNA from 1 species
CCCUGUGUGGUAUAAAUGGUAAAUAUACUUGACUGUUAGCUAAUCAAAGGUUGGAGGUUCGAGUCCACCCAAAGGUG